rnacentral:rRNA from 1 species
GACGAACGCUGGCGGCGUGCUUAACACAUGCAAGUCGAACGGAAAGGCCCUGCUUUUGUGGGGUGCUCGAGUGGCGAACGGGUGAGUAACACGUGAGUAACCUGCCCUUGACUUUGGGAUAACUUCAGGAAACUGGGGCUAAUACCGGAUAGGAGCUCCUGCUGCAUGGUGGGGGUUGGAAAGUUUCGGCGGUUGGGGAUGGACUCGCGGCUUAUCAGCUUGUUGGUGGGGUAGUGGCUUACCAAGGCUUUGACGGGUAGCCGGCCUGAGAGGGUGACCGGCCACAUUGGGACUGAGAUACGGCCCAGACUCCUACGGGAGGCAGCAGUGGGGAAUAUUGCACAAUGGGCGGAAGCCUGAUGCAGCAACGCCACGUGCGGGAUGACGGCCUUCGGGUUGUAAACCGCCUUCGCCUGUGACGAAGCGUGAGUGACGGUAAUGGGUAAAGAAGCACCGGCUAACUACGUG